UUAACAAGUCUAAUUGGGUUUAGGAUUUGUACAUCCAUAUAGACCUCAUUUACAUAAUCAACAUCUUAUGUGGAUACUGACGUGGCAAAUAAAGAAGAAAUUGGGGGAAUUCAACCUAUGUCAUAGGAUGUUGACGUGGCAAAUAAAGAAGAAAUCCGGGGAAUUCAACCUAUGAAGAGGUCAUGACGUGGAGGGUGUCGUUGAUAGAAACUGAUCGAAUCGAUGUGUGCGCCUUUGGGGAGGCAAAGACAGGGGUGGUGGUCCAUCGGUGAAAUGAUCGCUAGCAGCCGAGAUAUGAAGGAAAAAAAGUGGAGCGGCGAAAAAGUGGCUGAAAUGAAAGUAGAGAUAGCUGGUCGAAUGGUAGACAAAAAUGAAUGGGUUUGGGUGCGAACGACUCGCCAGAGAGCAUUUGAUUUGUGGUGGUCUUGAACAGUAGCUAGGUCAGACCGCAGCGAAUUGAGAAGAAAGAGAACAAAUCUAGGUUGAGGGUAGCGGUGAUGAGAGGCGGAAAAGGGAAGGGGUUGAGCGUGGGCGAGGGAGGGGGCUGGGCUGGAGGAGGCGAGGGUGAGACUGAGGGCUAGCGGCAAUGGGAGGUGUGGGAGAGAGGAGACUAGGCAGCGGUGAAGGCGGUGCAGGUAGGGUGUUGCGCAACGACAAGAGGUGUUUGCUGCAACAUUGAAGAAAAGCCAGAUCUACAUUGGCCUAAAUUACAGAGAUGUAGCAGCAUAUUUUGCAGGUGUGAUUGCCCUGAUAGAGGGGAUAUUAUGCACAGCAGAAGCCGUUUGAGUAACUAUUGCAGAAGUCCUCUGUCGAUGAAUGGUGACACCAUUGCUG